AGAGGAGCCCCAGCCCCGGGACUCCCAGGCCUUCCCACUCGCUGCUCAGGACUGAACACAGAUGACGCACCAUGGAGUCUGGACUGAGUUGGCUUCUCCUUGCUGCUCUGUUACAAGGUGUCCAGUGUGAGGUGAAGCUGGUGGAGUCUGGGGGAGGCUUGGUCCAGCCUGGGGGAUCCCAGAAACUCUCCUGUGAAGCCUCUGGAUUCACCUUCAGUGAUUACUACAUGUCCUGGGUCCGCCAGGCCCCAGGGAAGGGUCUGGAGUGGGUUGGUUUUAUUAGAAACAAAGCUAAUGGUGGAACCGCUGAAUAUGCUGCAUCCGUGAAAGGCAGAUUCACCAUCUCAAGAGAUGAUUCCAAAAGCGUUACCCAUCUGCAAAUGAACAGCCUGAAACCCGAGGACACGGCUGUGUAUUACUGUGCCAGGGACACAGCGAGGGGACUGCAGUGUGAGCCCAGACAAGAACCUCCUGAGGGCACAGGAGGCCAUCAGGGGAUGCCCCGGACCCACAAAGCACAGACUCAGCCCAGGGCAGGACGCCCAAAGUCUUGUCCGAAGCGGAGGUCUGGCCCUGACUGUGGAGGAGUGGUCCUCCUGGAAGCAGCCUUGUGA